AUGUGGCAUGGAGAGAGAAGCACAAACACACGUAACAUCACAGUUCCAAAAUUUGGUCUCUGCUGCAAGGAAGGGAAAAUUAAAUUACCACCACUGAAGCAAGCUCCGUUGUAUCUCCGACAGCUACUACGUUACAAUGAAAGAGGAGAGUCAUCCAAUUUUCGCCAGAACAUCAGGUUGUACAACUCCAUGUUCGCGUUCACUUCAAUGGGAGGAAAGGUUGACUAUGAAAUUAAUAAGCAGACACCUGGACCAUAUGUUUUCCGUUUGAAUGGCCAAAACUACCAUCAGAUUGGCACUUUACUUCCUAAAGAUGACGUGAUGAAACCAAAAUUUGCCCAAUUGUACAUACAUGACACAGAAAAUGAAGUGCGUAACAGGAUUACUGCAUCAACUUCAAUGGAGAGUAAGACAAAGCCAGAUGAAAACAUUGUCAAAGGUCUACUAGAGAUGCUAGAUGAGCACAAUGUUUUAGUCAAAUCGUUUCGUAUGGCAAGGGACAGGUUCGAAAACCGAGAAAUUAAAGAUGUAAGACUAAGAUUGAUCAACAAAAGGUCAAAAGAUGGACGGCAAUACAACCUCCCAUCUGCCUCAGAAGUUGCAGCACUAAUUAUCGGGGAACAAGAUGGAGAAAAUAAUGAAUUUGAUAUAAUAAUUGAGACCAAAGACAGAAUGUUACAGAGGAUUUCAGAGUUGCACCCAAGCUAUAUGUCAAUGCAAUACCCCUUGCUUUUUCCAUAUGGAGAAGAUGGGUUCAGACCAGAAAUAGAGUAUCAAAAAAAGAGAGGCGACAAGUGUAAGAGAAAGUAUGUAACAAUACUGGAGUUUUAUGCAUAUCGCAUCCAACAACGUCUUAACCAAGCAACAACCUUGCAAAUGAGUGGACGUUUGUUCCUACAGUUCUUAGUUGAUGCAGCAACGUGCAUUGAACAAUGGAGACUAAAUUGGUACAGGACAAACCAAGGUAAGCUGAGGACAGAACUAUACAAAGGACUGCAUGAUGCAAUAGAAAAUGGAGAUACACGAACUGAACAAGUUGGCCAAAGAAUCAUACUACCCUCAACAUAUAAUGGUAGCCCUAGAAAUAAGCAGCAAAACUACCAAGAUGCCAUGGCGAUUUGUCGUUGGGCUGGCUAUCCUGAUCUCUUCAUCACUUUUACAUGCAAUCCGAAAUGGCCGGAAAUACAGGAUAUGUUGGAUCUGAUUCCAGGCCAGAAACCUGAAGAUCGUCCAGACAUUGUUGCCAGAGUAUUCAUGUUAAAACUGAAGGAACUUAUGUAUGACAUAAAGAACGAGAAGUGUUUUGGACAAACAAUUGCGAGUAAGUUUACCAACCAACUACAGAUUUACUAUUGCCUAGAUGAUUGUCCAAAAUCAUUUCUUCUAAAAUUUCUUUACUUGCAUGCAGUUGUCUACACGAUAGAGUUCCAAAAAAGAGGCCUCCCUCAUGCACAUAUACUGGUGUUUCUACAUCCAGAUGAUAAAGAUCCCAGUCCUUCCCAGAUCGACAAAAUCAUAUCAGCCGAAAUUCCUGACAAGAAUAGUGAUCCAGAUGGGUAUGAAGCAGUGCAAAAUUACAUGAUACAUGGUCCCUGCGGUCAAGCACACCCAAAAUCACCAUGCAUAGUCGAUAAAAGUUGUGCCAAACAUUUCCCCAAGAGGUUUUGCACUGAAACUACAAUAGAUGAAGAUAACUAUCCAGUAUAUAGAAGACGAGAUGAUGGCAAUACUGUGGACAAAAACGGAGUGAAGCUAGACAAUAAAUUUGUUGUGCCAUACAAUAGAAACAUACUGGUCAAGUAUCAAGCCCACAUAAAUGUUGAAUGGUGCAACAGAUCAAGGUCUAUAAAGUAUUUAUUCAAAUACAUCCACAAAGGAGAAGAUCGAACAACUGUAUUAAUAGAAACAGAAGAGCAACAAAGAGAAACAAGAGGUGGCAAAUUAACAAACAGGGACGACGAAAUCAAGAGAUACCUUGAUGCUUGGUACAUUUCUGGAUGUGAAGCCGCAUGGCGCAUAUUUCAGUUUCCUCUUCAGUAUAGAGAGCCUGCGGUUGAAAGGUUACAAUUUCACCUAGAAAAUGAACAUGUUGUGGUAUUCCCAGACUCGAUGGAUUUAGAUAAAAUCAUAUAUCGGCCUAACAUAGAAAAGACUAUGUUCACAGAAUGGAUGACAGCCAACCAAUUGCAUGAGGAAGCUCGCAGUUUGACGUAUGCACAGUUUCCAACCAAAUGGACUUGGCAUGCAAAAGAGAAAGAAUGGAGGAAAAGACGUGGUGGUAAAAAAACCAUAGGCAGGAUUUACUAUGCACAACCAACAAGCGGUGAAAAAUACUACUUGAGAAUGCUUCUAAAUACCGUGAAAGGAUGCAGAUCCUAUGAAGAAACCCGAACAGUUGAUGGGGCUGUAUAUCCAACAUACAAAUCUGCAUGUUAUGCUCUUGGGCUACUUAAUGACGACAAGGAGUGGGAUGACUGCAUCAAGGAAGCAUCCCAUUGGGCCUCUGCUCCUCAAAUGCGCCAACUUUUCUGCACAAUACUUUUAUUUUGCGAGGUGACUGAUCUUCGAUUCACAAAUGAGGAUGCCGAGCAUAGACCGUUUGGAGGAAUGACAGUAGUCUUGGGAGGUGACUUCAGACAAAUCAGAAAAUAUGCGUCUGAAUUCAUCCGAAGGUAG
rnacentral:rRNA from 1 species